CCAAGGGGGAGUCAUAUUCUCAUCAAAGAUGGAUUCGGGGUUACGCCUCUGUAUGUAUGGUCGAAGUAGGCAAAAUCUCACCUUUCUAGCAGAUCAACAAUAGAUGCUUGAUUUAUAAAGGUUGUGGUGUUUGAAAGUGUUGAGAUCCGCAAGAUUUGAGUAAGAUUUUUCCUACUCCGCCCAUACCAUGCAUACACCUAAUCCUGAGUCCAUCUCUGAUGGGUUACUAUUGG
rnacentral:pre_miRNA from 1 species